rnacentral:tRNA from 1 species
GGCCAGCUAGCUCAGUCGGUAGAACAUGAGACUCUUAAUCUCAGGGUUGUGGGUUCAUGCCCUACGUUGGGUG